CUGCCCAGUGACUUAAGUUUAACGGCCGCGGUAUCCUGACCGUGCAAAGGUAGCACAAUCACUUGUUCUUUAAUUAAGGACUCGAAUGAAUGGCCACACGAGGGUUCAACUGUCUCUUACUUACAAUCAGUGAAAUUGACCUCUUCGUGAAGAGGCGAAGAUGAAUUAGCAAGACGAGAAGACCCUAUGGAGCUUAAAUUUACCACCCAACUUGCACCCUACACCCCCAAACAGGUUUCCAACACUCGCACUUAUGGGUAUACAAUUUUGGUUGGGGUGACCUCGGAGCACAAAACAACCUCCGAACUAUAAAUACCUAGACACAACCAGUCAAAGCCCCUUACAAACAUAUUGACCCAAAAAAUUGAUCAACGGAACAAGUUACCCUAGGGAUAACAGCGCAAUCCUGUUCAAGAGUCCAUAUCGACAACAGGGUUUACGACCUCGAUGUUGGAUCAGGACAUCCAAAUGGUGUAACCGCUAUUAAUGGUUCGUUUGUUCAACGAUUA
rnacentral:rRNA from 1 species